CCGUCACCGCUCUCUCCGCCCCUACGCGCCGCACGCCGCGGCCGCCUGUUAGCAAGGUAGGUGGCACCGCGGCGUGAACCAGUCAAGGGCGCCUUGGAGAAUGACCCUGGGACCCCGUAGUCGCCGCCAUUGCUGGCCGCCGCGCCCCCGCCCCGCAGUGGGGCGCGGCCAGGGGCUGUGGAAGUCCUGCUCCGUGGGCAGAUCCUCGAAGAGGCGAGGAACCGUUGCUCAGUUCCCUAGAGUCCGGGAUGGGAGCGUCCCAGGCUGAGGGGCGUGGGGAGGGGCGGCCCAGGAGCACCUGGCGAGGACCCUGCUCAGGCCUGGCGGCGCCUGUCCACCGAACCUUCCUCGGCCUCCCCGCUCGUUCUCCCGGAUCCCUCCUGAAGGUUCGCGGCGCGGAGGCGGUCCCCGAGGGUCGGGGUUCUGAGUGGGCAUGAGACCGCAGGACUCAGUACAGAGCGAGCCACGUGGGCAGUGUCCUAUCGCAAUCUGACAACGCUUGGCUUAUAAUUAAGGAUCUUACUGACAAAAAGGAUUGUAAGCGAACACAGUGGGUCCGUUCGCCCCUUGGUGAUCGAGGAGCCAGUGAGCACAAUCAGAAAAGAUGAGAGUGAAGAAUGGUUUACUUAUGAGGCUGCUUCCUGUUUUUGACCCUAAUGACCAUCAAGGAUCCCAGAGCCACUGCCAAGCCACAGACCCACAGGGGUAGCAGCUUCUCAAUCCUCUCUGACUUUAUAACUCCAUGUCUUCAACUCAGGGAGUCUGUGGGGCUCCACUUGGAUUCCUCCUUCCUGUGCUGCACAACGGAACCUUUUUCCGGGCAGUAAACUAGGACAAGUCCUGGGUUUGCAACCACAGUCAUGCCAUAAAACACUUCCAUCACAUCACCAUCAUUCUGAAAAACUCUGGGCUCCUUGCAGCCAAUCCUGACCUUUGGCACACAUUGAUCUGCUUUCUAUCAUUGGAGGUUUGUCUUUUCUGGAAUUUCGUAUGAAUGAAAAAAUUGACAGAUAUUUUCUUAUGUUGUGUCUGGCUUCUGUCCUUUCCCAUAAGGCUUUUCCGUGUCAGUACUUUGUUUCUUUUUGUUGCAUAGUGUUCCAUUGUAUGGAUACACAAAAAUUUGUUUAUCUAUUUGAUGGCCGUGUGGGUUGUUUCCAUUUUGGGCUGCUCUGGAUAUUGGCAUGCAAAUCUUUGGGGUAAACACUUAGAAAAAGAAUUGCUAGGUUGCACAGUGUUUGAUGAACCUUUUAAGAAACUGCUAAAAUUGCUAAGCUGUUUUUCAAAGCAGUUAAAGUGUUUGUGUUCCCACUGGCAGUGUAGAAGGUUCUGGCAUUGCACAUUCUUACCAGUGCAUACAUACCUUGUAUCACUCUCUAUUGUAUUUCAUUGGUGUUGUGUUAUGUACAAAUAUGUAUUGUAUAGUGUUAACUUUCUUGUGCACUGAAAAACAAAAAAAAAUUCAUGUGAGUCACUUUGUUGCCAUAUUUCUUUUAUUCCGAUGAUCUGAAACCAAAACACAGUAUCUCCAAGGUACACCUGUACUUGGUAUUGACAAUCUUUUAAAUUUAGCUAUUCUAAUUUGCAGUACUGGGGAUUGAAUCCAGAGGCGCUAUACCACUGAGGUUCAUCCCAGCCCUUUUAAAAUUCUUUUAACUUUGAGACAGCGUCUCCCGUGAAGUUGCCCAGGCUGGCCUGGGACUUGCAUUCCUGCCUCAGCCUCCAAUCGCUGGUAUUACGGCACAUGCCUCUGUGCUCAGUUAGUGUUUGGUUUUGAUAAGUCCAGUAUAUGGAUUUUUCUUCUUUGUGUUCUUCAUGUCCUAAGAAAUCUUUGCUCACCCAAAUGUCACAAAGGUCAUCUAUGUUUUCCUCUAAAGAUAUUAUGGUUUUUAUUUUUAUACUUAUGUUAAUGGGUUUUUUUGUUUGUUUGUUUGUUUUUAGCUUUUGAUGAACCUUUAUUUUAUUUAUUUAUAUGCAGUGCUGAGAUUCAAACCCAGUGCCUCACACGUGCUAGGAAAGCACUCUGCCACUGAGCCACAACCCCAGCCCUAAUGGUACAUUUGAAGUUUAUUUUUGUGUAUAGUGUCAGGUAGAUUGGGAUUCUUCCCCUCCAUCCAUAUAGAUACUAAGUUAUUCUAGCACCAUUUGUUGAAAGACUAUUUUUUCCCUGUUAAAUGCCUUGGCAUCUUUGUUGAAUCUCAGCUAUCCUUAUGUAUGUGACCCUAUUUCUAGCCUCUGGAUUCUGUUUCAUAGGUUGUUACACUAAUACCUACACUGUCUUGAUUAGUGUAGCUACAGAGUAAGUACAGAAAUCAGUGUCAGUCCUCCAAACUUUAGUUCUUAUCUUACAGAAUUAUUUUGGCUACUUUCAGUACUCUGCUUUCUUAUAUAAAUUGUCUUCAGUUUCUACAAAAAAAAAAA